rnacentral:rRNA from 1 species
UACGUAGGGCGCAAGCGUUGUCCGGAUUCACUGGGUGUAAAGGGUGCGUAGGCGGGAGAGUAAGUCCGCGGUGAAAUCUCACGGCUCAACCGUGAAACUGCCGUUGAUACUGCUUUUCUUGAGUUCGGGAGAGGUUGAUGGAAUUCCAGGUGUAGCGGUGAAAUGCGUAGAUAUCAGGAGGAACACCUGUGGUGUAGACAGCUUACUGGACCAUAACUGACGCUGAGGCACGAAAGCGUGGGUAGCAAACAGG